AUAUGUGUUACAUUGCAGGAGAUUGCAUUAUAUGCGAUAGAAAAGUACGAGGAGCAAAUAUUUUAUUUGUUUUUGUACGUAAUAUAACGUUCUGAAUAUCAUAAUAUUAUAGCUAUAAUUCUGCAGUCCAACUUUAUUUUAUAGAACUAGGCUGAAAUACUAUCAAUAGUAUCAAAUUAUUGGUGCUAUUAGAUUUUCGGCCCUUGAAUAAGAAAAAUGUACGAUUAAAAUGAUCUGGAUCCCCUAAGGUUGAGUGAGUUAUUGGUUUAAUAGUACAAUCUAACGGAUGAAAAUAGUCAAAAGGUUAAAUUUAACGGCGGAAAUCUCGAUAGUACCAAACACUUGAUGUUGAAAAAGAUGAUAAAAAAAAUUAUGAAAAAAACCAAAAGUAAAAAUAAAAA
rnacentral:lncRNA from 1 species